CUAGGAGCUGCUAUAUAUCGGACAAGCCCAUGGGUUCUAUUGGUUUGAAACUCUUCUGUUUCUUACUCACUUAGGCGAAAAUGCUCAUUUCUGCUUUCAUUCAUUUGCUACAGGCAAUUUGUAGACAACAGUUUUACUCCUAUUUUGGGUGCAUUGUCUCCUUCCCUUGUAUUCGGUUCCGGGAGUUGUCUGUAGGGACCGUAGUUUGAGCCGCAGGGCUGGUAUCCAGGAUAACUGUGUCUUCAUUGCUUGAUCUAACUAUACUGCGUAUCGGCUUUAAAUGAUUGGAGGACAAGUUUGUUUCUCAUGCAUAGAUGCAUUUUAAGCUUUUACUUGCUGUGUCAUUCUCGCAGGGUGUCACUAUUCCAUCUUUUCUGACCAGUAAUUGUGGGCAUUGGCUGUAUCAAAAGUCUGGGUAUAGAGUAUUCUAGUUCAGUAUACGCUAACUUUACGUUCCUGGUACCUGGCGUGAGUGCUCUAGUACUUUUUGGUUGGAUUGAAUUGGAAGCUUCAGAUGUUUGUUGGCCAACCAUGAAUUUUGCUAUUCCUACCAAAGUAUUUGAACUAGAUGCUUCCCUAUUCCUCUAUUCUUGACUUGAAGGUGUUUAUAUGCCUUUCAGAGAUUCAGAGAAUAUUGAUACCAACAACCCUGGGUCUUAAUAGUGUUUACCACUCAUCAAUGCCAUUUCGUUUUGAUAAUAAAUGACUGGAAACUGAUAGCUGAACCAGGGUUGGUUAUUUUCAACAACGUUUUGAUGUCCACUCAUCUUAAUAUCUCAUUAAGGUCGUAAUAUAUGAAGCUCCAGACAGAGGUUGCCAUUGCUUAUCUUAUCAGCUUUAUCUGGAUUCUGCAAAUUCAUUGCGAUGAACUUUCUAAUACUCCUAGCAGAAACAAAUGGACAUGUAAAUGUUCUUCAUACCAUGGAAAUCAGAGUUAUGCUGUUAAAUCCAACUGUUCCACGGCCUGUGAUUGCAUUCCAGAUGCUGGAGGAAGCACAUGGACGUGUACAUGCACUGCUGACGGGUUUCCUAAGUUAGUUUCUGACAGUGUUGAUAGAAACUGUUUCACAGGUUGCAACUGCACGUCUGGAUCUCUCAGCACGGCACAAGUCUCAAAAAAGCACAUUUCCAGCAAAGUUGUUGUGAUUAUUCUAUUACUGUGUGCUAUUCUCACAACUUUUGCAUUUCUUGCCUCUGCCAUGUGCUAUGUCUAUCGAAGGGACAAGUUCUCACCAGACAAGGAAAAAAAUUGCGAUAGUGCUACCAACUUAAUAAGUCUUAGGACUUCUUCAGCACUACAGAGCAAAUUUUUUAUAGAUAUUCCCACAAAUCCUUUUACAGGAUGCUUUCAGAAGACUUCUUUGUUACUUAGAAGCACAACAGGGAAUACACAUGGAACCAUCAUCCAAUUUUCAUAUUCUCAAUUGGAAAGUGCAACCCGAAAGUUCUCGAACUCUAAUCUUAUUGGAGUUGGAGGAAGCAGCUAUGUUUAUCGUGGUCAGCUCAGAAAUGGCAGAAUUGUGGCAAUUAAGCGGCUAAAAACUCAGGGGGGACCAGAUUCAGAAUCUCUAUUUUCAACGGAGAUUGAACUAUUAUCCAGACUUCAUCAUUGUCAUGUGGUGCCUUUGCUUGGCUACUGCUCAGAAUCCAUGGGAAAAAAUGCUGAGAGGCUUCUGGUAUUUGAGUAUAUGCCUAAUGGUAAUUUGAGAGAGAGUUUGGAUGAGGGCUCAGGUAGAGAAAUGGAUUGGGCUACUCGAGUUGCAAUUGCAAUUGGAGCUGCAAGAGGCUUGGAAUAUCUUCAUGAAGCAGCUGCUCCAAGGAUUCUGCAUUGUGAUGUCAAAUCAACAAACAUUCUCCUGGAUGAUAAUUGGAGAGCGAAAAUAACUGAUCUUGGUAUGGCUAAAUUCUUAAGAGCUGACGGUCUCCCCAGCUGCUCCAAUUCUCCAGCAAAAAUGCAGGGGACUUUUGGCUAUUUUGCACCAGAGUAUGCCAUUGUUGGAAAAGCCUCACUCAAGUCAGACGUUUUCAGUUUUGGGGUAGUUCUUCUUGAGCUUAUUAGUGGUCGGCAACCCAUCUAUAAAACAAGCCACAACAGAGAAGAAAGCCUUGUCAUUUGGGCUACCCCUCGUUUACAGGAUAGCAGGCGAGUAAUUACAGAGUUGGCUGAUCACCGUUUAAAUGGGAAUUUCCCUGAAGAAGAAAUGCAGAUAAUGGCUUACCUAGCAAAGGAGUGCCUGCUUUUGAAUCCUGAUGAUCGACCGACCAUGGGUGAGAUUGUUCAAAUCCUUUCAACAAUUGCACCUGAUAAAUCCAGGAGAAACCUUCCUGUAUAUCUUUACCAGAGGUCAACCCCUCAUAGGAUAAGGAGUGAACCCUUCAAUCAAAGACAUACCAAUCAAAUGGAGAAGAGGCCAGUCCCAUCCAGUAAACGGUGUUCACUGCAGUUGUCAGGUCCUCUUGAUGGUGAGGAGACAAGGCCAACCCCAUCAAGUAAGGAAUCAACUCCUUGCUCCCUGGCAGUAGAAGUUGAUAGUACCGUGUGUGUUGGAGAACAUAGCGAUGAAGCAGAUCAUAUCUCACUCGAGUAUAUAGAGAGCCUGAUCCUCGAGACUUCGAACAGCUCAAGUUGGCAUGCCUUCGAUGAUGAAGUGGACUUAACUGAGCCACGGUUUGAAUCAUUUCGGAUGGCCAAUAUUAAGACCCCUUGAUGAAAGCAACCGGAUGAGCAGAGGUUGGCAAAAAGAUGUGAAAAAACUCAUGGAUAGAUGGAUCGGGGUGGCGGCACCCUCGGAACAGAAAGAGCUGGAAAAGGGUAGAGUUAAAGUGAAAAGAAAGACAGCUCGAUGCUCAAUUACGUGUAGUUGACCUCAUUCGAGCGUGCUUGCAUGAGCUGCUUCCCCCUGUCAAAUUGAAUAUAAAGAAACUUGGAAUUUGAGAUCUGUUGUGCAAACUCUCUUAGGCCCAUCCCAGAUUCCAACUCUGACCGCUUACCACUAGUUGGGGAAUUUUAAAUGAGACUCAACAACAAAUCAAGCGGAGCAACAAGAUUCACCCAUGCAAUUUUGAUAUCAUGUUUGAAUUCCUUAUGUUCAGCUAACUAGCUUGUCAUGUCUAAGCAGCUAAGAUUAGUUGUCAAUAUUCAUCUCUGGUUCAUACCUAAACGUUUGUUCAUGUGGUAGUUGGGAAUCCGUGUUAAAAGUUAAAAGCUACGAGUUUGAAACUCUCGUUUGAACGGUAGGUGGAGGGUUGACCUGAGGGGAAAGGACAGUGCCGUAUAUUUACACAUAACAUUCAUACAUAUCAUCUACCUGUACUGGAAACAGAGUCGAAUCUGCUGCAAUUUAGUUGUAUUUUCUGCAAUGGAUCCACCUCCGCCUCCACCAUCAAGCACACCACUACUUGCCCCAGCUCCACCUGCCAAUGAAUUCUUGGACUGCUGUUUAUGGUUUCUUUGUUGCUGUGGCUUAUUUAGAAGCUGCUUCCCUCCACUGUUUGAGCCUGGGCCUCCGCCUCCCUUAUAAUGAAUUACUUCUGUAUCUCACUAUUUAUGAGCUGUUUGUGUAUGCAAAGGAAAAUAGAAAACAAUGUAAGAGUUAGAUUUACAAAUUUGGACGCAUUCUUGAUCAUCCUCUUCUUUUGUACUGAUUAAUGUAGCCUUGAAUUUUUGGGUGAAUGAUAUGCUUCUGUAUCUUUGUAUUCA